rnacentral:rRNA from 1 species
GAUGAACGCUGACAGAAUGCUUAACACAUGCAAGUCAACUUGAAUUUGGGUUUUUAACUUAGGUUUGGGUGGCGGACGGGUGAGUAACGCGUAAAGAACUUGCCUCACAGCUAGGGACAACAUUUGGAAACGAAUGCUAAUACCUAAUAUUAUGAUAAUAGGGCAUCCUAUAAUUAUGAAAGCUAUAAGCGCUGUGAGAGAGCUUUGCGUCCCAUUAGCUAGUUGGAGAGGUAACGGCUCACCAAGGCGAUGAUGGGUAGCCGGCCUGAGAGGGUGAUCGGCCACAAGGGGGCUGAGACACGGCCCUUACUCCUGCGGGAGGCAGCAGUGGGGAAUAUUGGACAAUGGACCAAGAGUCUGAUCCAGCAAUUCUGUGUGCACGAUGAAGUUUUUCGGAAUGUAAAGUGCUUUCAGUUGGGAAGAAAGAAAUGACGGUACCAACAGAAGAAGUGACGGCUAAAUACGUG